CCACUGGAUGACGAUGAACUAGUGGGAUACAUCCUUGCUGGCCUUGACAAGGAAUAUGACUCCGUUGUCAACGCAGUUCUCGCACGAACCGAUCCGAUUACUAUAAGUGAACUUGUUCCGCAGAUGCUGUCAUUCGAGA
rnacentral:snoRNA from 1 species